rnacentral:rRNA from 1 species
UACAGAGGGGGCAAGCGUUGUUCGGAAUUACUGGGCGUAAAGGGCUUGUAGGUGGCCAAUUAAGUCAGACGUGAAAUCCCUCAGCUUAACUGGGGAACUGCGUCUGAUACUGGAUGGCUUGAGUUUGGGAGAGGGAUGCGGAAUUCCAGGUGUAGCGGUGAAAUGCGUAGAUAUCUGGAGGAACACCGGUGGCGAAGGCGGCAUCCUGGACCAACACUGACACUGAGGAGCGAAAGCCAGGGAGCAAACGGG